CCUACGGGAGGCAGCAGUGGGGAAUUUUGGACAAUGGGGGAAACCCUGAUCCAGCCAUCCCGCGUGUAUGAUGAAGGCCUUCGGGUUGUAAAGUACUUUUGGCAGAGAAGAAAAGGUAUCCCUAAUACGGGAUACUGCUGACGGUAUCUGCAGAAUAAGCACCGGCUAACUACGUGCCAGCAGCCGCGGUAAUACGUAGGGUGCAAGCGUUAAUCGGAAUUACUGGGCGUAUUGCGUGUGUAGGCGGUUCGGAAAGAAAGAUGUGAAAUCCCAGGGCUCAACCUUGGAACUGCAUUUUU
rnacentral:rRNA from 1 species